AUGGAGAUGAAACUGAGCUUAAUUGUCAUUUUUGCUCUUCUAAAAGAUGUCCAGUGUGAAGCACAGCUGGUUCAGACUGGAGGAGGACUGGUGAAGCCUGGGAGUUCUCUCAGACUCACUUGUGCAGCCUCAGGAUUCACUUUCAGUAGCUACUGGAUGAGCUGGGUUCGACAGACACCUGGGAAGGCUCUGGAGUGGAUUGGAGAAAUUAAUUAUGGUGGCAGUACCACAAACUAUGCACCAUCCAUAAAGGAUCGAUUCACCAUCUCCAGAGACAAUUCCAAGAGCACCCUGUACCUGCAGAUGAACAAUGUGAAAUCUGAGGACACGGCCACUUAUUACUGUACAAGAGACACAAUGAAUCAACUUCAGUGUGAAACUAGACAGAAACCUCACUGUCAACUUACUCUGAACCACUAG